AAUGAAUACAGGAGCGACGGACUCUGCUUUGACAAAUGUGCUCCAGGGCAUAAGUUGAUGAGAAAAUGUUCUAGUGGCAUGGUAUCUCAAUGUGAGAAAUGUUCGGAAGGGACAUACCUAGACAAGAUGGACUACUAAUUUGAAGGAAACAGUCAUUUAGGAGCGACUCUAACAUUAGAUCCUGGAGGACAGAGGUAAAGUCACAUGCUCUUCUUUGUAUUCUGUUCUGUAGUUCUACAAAUUUAUUAAUAUUAUAUUGAGAUACAGUUAUAUACAAAUA